AGACCAGAAAAAGCAAACAAAUACAACGGGGAAAAAAACGAGAUCCACAACAAAAACUGAAAAAAAAAAGGGGGGAACUACACAACCCAUAUUCCACAAAUGAGCUAGUGGGUUCUUUACAUGAAGUAGCUGUAUACCAGAAAUUAAGCUAGUCUUUCUUCUUGCCGGCUGCAGCUAGGCAUCAAAAUAUUCGCUAUAUUCAUCUUCGUUGUCUUCAUGAAGCCAAUAUUUGCUGAAAUGCUGCACCUUGAACUUCCAUUCUCCUUUGACGGAAUCAUAUGACACGAAUUCAGCACCUUGAUCUCCUGCCUUCCUCUUAAGCAUUUCUUUAUAUUUCUCGAUUCUAGGACCCUCUGUAUACUGUUGUCCGGUCUUCUUAUCGAAACAUUUUAUGUUGAGAAGUGUCACCUCAGCAGGCUUGUUAAGACCUUGGCCGACAGGAGGUUUCUUACUUUCAUCCAUAUAGACUAUCACCUCCCGAUUGUUAAACUGGAUAAGAGACUCAAGAUCAAGACGACGGACAUCUGUUUCCCCUAUGAACUUGAUGCUACCGUACCCAUGUCUUCCAACCACAAAAUCCUUCACACGGCGACAGAAGCCAGGUUCAGCUCUUUCUUUGGCUGCCAAUUCCUGAAUCCGUGGUUCUGUGUAAUAAUCGGAAUGGCAGAGCUUUGGCAUCAGAGCCUCAAUGUCAGCCCCAUGUUCAUAAACAAUUGCUGCCUCACCAGCUCGAUGGCCAGUAAGGGUAAUGGAAGACCCUCCUCCUUUUCGGAGAUGUUGCCCUUCGUGGAGACCAUUAGGUUUCUGGUUCAGUUUGGUACUAUCGAGGCCCUCUUUAUCAAGGCCAUUCUCAACCGGAUCUUUGUUUUUAUCUUUUGCACUGGCCUCGUUAACUGGAGCACAAACAACUUCAGCAGUUUUACCAUUCUCAUGCGCUGGGAUAGACAUGUGCUUUGAUGGUGAUACUUUCUCCACACCACCUCUCGAAGGCCACUGGUCCACUGGACGAAUUACUAAAGCUCUUGGAUUCUCUCUGGGAACAAACAAUGCAUCUGCCUUAGGUGUGCUUGGUGUUUCAUCAUCAUCACUAAAGAACGGUACCUUAGUCCCCUCAGUUUUAGGAUGAUAUUUCCUUGCCGGCAACCUAACCCGUCUUUGAGAAAUGUGUCGAGAAGUUAGUAAUGAUGAUAUCCGGACAGGAACAGGUUUGUCAACCACCGGUAAACUAGAAAUCCCAUACUGUAUAGAAGAAGAAGUGCCAGUACGACCAAUUGACAUCUGAGGCAUCGCUGGUAAAGUUCCAAAUGGAUUAGUAACAACUGAAGGUUGUGCGACAACUGAGCUUUGGAUAGCUGGCGGCUGACUGAAAAGGCUGGGAGUGCCACCAAAACCACUUGCAGCAGCUCCUUGUGUCUGACCAAAGUUAUUGAACCCAAAAGCAGAACUAUGAGAAGGCUGAGUCAGUUGAAAAGGAGUUGAUAGAGAGGGCGUUGUUUGGCCAAAUCCCAUUGUACUGCUUGUAUUUAGCAGUGGUGCACUUGAAAACAGAUUACUACCAAAGCCAGUAGAAGGUGUACUAAACAAAUUGGAUUGACCAAAAGCUGGUGUAGUCUGGGCAAAAGAUGAUGUGGUCUGUCCAAAGGCCGAGUUCGUCUGUCCGAAUGAAGGGGUAGUUGAUUGGAAUAACGGUGAUGAUUGGGUGUUACCAAAGCUUAAGCUAGGACCAAAUGCUGAGGCAGUAUUCUGAGCAGACGAGGAGCCAAAAAUUGAUGUUGAUGACCCAAAACCCGAAGCACUAGCCGAUCCAAAGAGGGUCGGAGAUGUACUUUGUCCAAAAGCUGAAGUUGAUCCAAAUAAGGAAGGGGAAGUCGAGGAUGUAGAGCCAAAAGGAUUAGAUGUAUUUGAGCUUGGAAAGGCAGAGGUAUUAAAAGCCGGAGUAGUUGGGACUCCAAAAUUUGGAGUACUGAAUGUGGAUGGUUUGGGGGCAAAAGGGUUGGAAGAUGUAGAGGACGUAAAUGGAUUUGCAGAUGAUUGGCCAAAAGGGGAAGUUGAUGAUGAUGCGAAGGCUGAGCUUCCAAAAUUGAUUCCACCAGUUGAUUGACCCGCAGGAGCAGGACCUCCCUUGUCUCCCAACUGGUAAUCCUCCCACCUAAGUUCUUCAUGGCUCUUUUCUUUGUAAACUGGCAUGGCCGAAAUAGACUCUAGUUUCGCAGGCUGGGUACCACUGGAAUUAUCUGCAUCAGGUGUUGCCUGGUAAGCAGCAACUCGUGUUCCGCCCCGUUGACCACCAACGGCAGAUUGUCCAAAACUAGGGUUUCCGAAAGAUGAUGCAGAAGUUUGGGCUCCAAAGGCAGAACUUUGAGCACCAAAAGCUGACGUUGUUGUGCCAAACGGGCUACUGCCAAAAGCAGAUGUUGAUUGGCCAAAUGCAGGAGAGGAUCCAAAACUAAACGAAGGAGCACUUGGAGUACCAAAAGCAGGAGUUGAUGUGGAGCCAAAGGCAGAAGAAGUGGUAGUACCAAAGGACGGAGUGCCAGAUCCAAAAACAGGAGGAUUUGUCACACCAAAUGGGCUGCUUGUACUGCCAAAGGUUGGAUUAGGUGUAGAACCAAAGGCUGGAGUACUUGAUGUACCAAAAGCUGGUGUACUCGUUGGGGCACCAAAAGCAGGGGUCGUUGAUGAACCAAAUGUUGGAGUACUCGGAGUACCAAAUGCAGGUUGACUUGAAGUACCAAAAGGUGUAGAUGAGCCGAAUAGACCACUCCCAAAUGCCGGCUGUGAUUGUUGAAACGAGCUGCCGAAAGGACUUGUUUGAGCACUGCUUGAACCAAAGCCGCCAAAAGCUGGCUUUUGACCGAAUACUGAUGAACUCCCAAAUGCUGGUGAUGAACUGCCAAAAGUGGUAGUAGAAGCUCCAAAUGCAGGUGAGGAUGAUGCACCAAAAACUGAUGUAGACCCCAGAGGUGAAGAAGAUUGGGGGGUUCCAAACACUCCAGUGGAAGUGCUACCAAAAAAGGAAGCACCUGAUUGAGAACCAAAUGGAUUUGUACUGCCAAAAGGUUUUGGAGCAAAUGGGUUAUUACUUGUCUGCCCGAAACCUGAUUGUGACCCAAAUGGGCUAGAAGAUGACUGCCCGAAAGCAUUCGUGGACCCAAACAUGGUUGGAUAGUCAAAUCUUUCCCAGCAGUUGUUGGAGUGUCCAAGUUAAGAUAUAAUGCCUCAAUGAAUGAAAAAAAUCCUAUGCACUAGGUAUAUGCAUUAUGCUGAGAUGUACAAGGAAGAUGUUGCCGGCCGACGGACGACUAGCUGCUCGUUUUCGAUCUGAAAGCAGCAGAAAUAUCACCUGAAAAGGUCGCCGGAAGCUAGCGUUUGUACAACUUCGGCGGAGUUAG
rnacentral:misc_RNA from 1 species